UACAGAGGUCUCAAGCGUUGUUCGGAUUCAUUGGGCGUAAAGGGUGCGUAGGCGGCGCGGUAAGUCGGGUGUGAAAUCUCGGAGCUUAACUCCGAAACUGCGUUCGAUACUGCCGUGCUUGAGGACUGGAGAGGAGACUGGAAUUUACGGUGUAGCGGUGAAAUGCGUAGAUAUCGUAAGGAAGACCAGUGGCGAAGGCGGCAUCCUGGACCGGUAUUGACAUCUGAGGCGCGGAAAGCCAGGGGAGCAAACGGG
rnacentral:rRNA from 1 species